rnacentral:ncRNA from 2 species
CUCAGCUUGUCGGGGUGCCAAAGAUGUUUCGUCUGAGGCUGAGAUCGCAAAAAUGCGAGACCCGCUGAACCUGAUCGGGAUCAUCUCCGCGUAGGGAACAAGGCACUUGGCUCC